rnacentral:tRNA from 1 species
GCCCAGAUACGCCAAGCGGCAGAGCGGCUCGGCUUAAACCCGGGCGUUUGCAGGUUCGAGUCCUGUUCUGGGCA